UGGGGAAUUUUGGACAAUGGGCGAAAGCCUGAUCCAGCGACGCCGCGUGGAGGACGAAGGUUUUCGGAUUGUAAACUCCUUUUGCAGGGGACGAAAGCCCGCAAGGGUUUGACGGUACUCUGCGAAUAAGCCACGGCUAACUACGUGCCAGCAGCCGCGGUAAUACGUAGGUGGCGAGCGUUACUCGGAAUUACUAGGCGUAAAGCGCGUGUAGGUGGGCGUUUAAGUCUGUUGUUAAAUUCCACGGCUCAACCGUGGACUGUCAAUAGAUACUGGACGUCUUGAGUGAGGUAGAGGGAACUGGAAUUCCCGGUGUAGCGGUGAAAUGCGUAGAUAUCGGGAAGAACGCCAAAGGCGAAGGCAGGUUCCUGGGCCUCCACUGACACUGAGACGCGAAAGCUAGGGGAGCAAACAGG
rnacentral:rRNA from 1 species